rnacentral:rRNA from 1 species
GGGUUGUGAGGUUAAGCGACUAAGCGUACACGGUGGAUGCCCUGGCAGUCAGAGGCGAUGAAGGGCGUGCUAAUCUGCGAUAAGCGCCGGUAAGGUGAUAUGAACCGUUAUAACCGGCGAUACCCGAAUGGGGAAACCCAGUGUGAUUCGUCACACUAUCAUUAACUGAAUCCAUAGGUUAAUGAGGCGAACCGGGGGAACUGAAACAUCUAAGUACCCCGAGGAAAAGAAAUCAACCGAGAUUCCCCCAGUAGCGGCGAGCGAACGGGGAGGAGCCCAGAGCCUGAAUCAGCAUGUGUGUUAGUGGAAGCGUCUGGAAAGGCGCGCGAUACAGGGUGACAGCCCCGUACACAAAAGCGCAUGUGCUGUGAGCUCGAUGAGUAGGGCGGGACACGUGGUAUCCUGUCUGAAUAUGGGGGGACCAUCCUCCAAGGCUAAAUACUCCUGACUGACCGAUAGUGAACCAGUACCGUGAGGGAAAGGCGAAAAGAACCCCGGCGAGGGGAGUGAAAAAGAACCUGAAACCGUGUACGUACAAGCAGUGGGAGCACCCUUUGGGGUGUGACUGCGUACCUUUUGUAUAAUGGGUCAGCGACUUAUAUUCUGUAGCAAGGUUAACCGUAUAGGGGAGCCGAAGGGAAACCGAGUCUUAACCGGGCGUUAAGUUGCAGGGUAUAGACCCGAAACCCGGUGAUCUAGCCAUGGGCAGGUUGAAGGUUGGGUAACACUAACUGGAGGACCGAACCGACUAAUGUUGAAAAAUUAGCGGAUGACCUGUGGCUGGGGGUGAAAGGCCAAUCAAACCGGGAGAUAGCUGGUUCUCCCCGAAAGCUAUUUAGGUAGCGCCUCGUGAAUUCAUCUCCGGGGGUAGAGCACUGUUUCGGCUAGGGGGCCAUCCCGGCUUACCAACCCGAUGCAAACUGCGAAUACCGGAGAAUGUUAUCACGGGAGACACACGGCGGGUGCUAACGUCCGUCGUGAAGAGGGAAACAACCCAGACCGCCAGCUAAGGUCCCAAAGUCAUGGUUAAGUGGGAAACGAUGUGGGAAGGCCCAGACAGCCAGGAUGUUGGCUUAGAAGCAGCCAUCAUUUAAAGAAAGCGUAAUAGCUCACUGGUCGAGUCGGCCUGCGCGGAAGAUGUAACGGGGCUAAACCAUGCACCGAAGCUGCGGCAGCGAACGUAUCACUUAAAGCGAUUCAGCGGGUUACGAUUGACGGAGCGAAGCGACGUCAAAGCGUAUACAAAGUCGAGUCGGUUUAAGGAUACGUUCGUUGGGUAGGGGAGCGUUCUGUAAGCCUG